GAUGAACGCUGGCGGCGUGCCUAAUACAUGCAAGUCGAGCGAACGGACGAGAAGCUUGCUUCUCUGAUGUUAGCGGCGGACGGGUGAGUAACACGUGGAUAACCUACCUAUAAGACUGGGAUAACUUCGGGAAACCGGAGCUAAUACCGGAUAAUAUUUUGAACCGCAUGGUUCAAAAGUGAAAGACGGUCUUGCUGUCACUUAUAGAUGGAUCCGCGCUGCAUUAGCUAGUUGGUAAGGUAACGGCUUACCAAGGCAACGAUGCAUAGCCGACCUGAGAGGGUGUACGGCCACACUGGAACUGAGACACGGUCCAGACUCCGACGGGAGGCAGCAGUAGGGAAUCUUCCGCGAUGGGCGAAAGACUGACGGAGCAACGCCGCGUUAGUGAUGAAGGUCUUCGGAUCGGAAAACUCUGUUAGUAGGGAAGAACAUAUGUGUAAGUAACUGUGCACAUCUUGACGGUACCUAAUCAGAAAGCCACGGCUAACUACGUG
rnacentral:rRNA from 1 species